rnacentral:misc_RNA from 1 species
GAAAUGCGAUAAGUAAUGUGAAUUGCAGAAUUCCGUGAAUCAUCGAAUCUUUGAACGCACAUUGCGCCCUCUGGUAUUCCGGGGGGCAUGCCUGUCCGAGCGUCAUUGCGAACCCCUCAAGCACGGCUUGUGUGAUGGGCCCUCCCGCGUCUUGGUCGUCAAGACGGGCCCGAAAUGCAGGGGCGGCUUCGCGGUUAUCCGAUCAGCCAGAGCGUAUGGGGACUUUCUCUCUGUCACACGCCCGCGGCGCGGACCGACGCCUGUCGACCUUCAUUCAUCGUUUUCUCGGUUGACCUCGGAUCAGGUAGGGAUACCCGCUGAACUUAAGC